AACGAACGCUGGCGGCGUGGAUUAGGCAUGCAAGUCGAACGAGGAAGUGCCCCGUAAGGGGCGCAAGCCUAGUGGCGAAAGGGUGAGUAAUGCAUUGAUAACCUGCCUUUGAGAUGGGAAUAACUGCGUUUCGAGCAAUCGGAACUACCGAAAGGGCUGCUAAUACCCAAUAAUACUAUAGGUGCAAAAGCACUUGUGGUCAAAUGCUAGGAAUUCUGUUCCUUGUGCUUAAAGAGGGGUUAAUGUCCUAUCAGCUAGUUGGUGGGGUAAUGGCCUACCAAGGCAAAGACGGGUAGCCGGCUUGAGAGGGUGGUCGGCCACACUGGGACUGAGACACGGCCCAGACUCCUACGGGAGGCAGCAGUGGGGAAUUUUGGACAAUGGGCGAAAGCCUGAUCCAGCAAUGCCGCGUGUGUGAAGAAGGCCUUCGGGUUGUAAAGCACUUUUGUCCGGAAAGAAAUCCGCCUGGCCAAUACCCGGGCGGGAUGACGGUACCGGAAGAAUAAGCACCGGCUAACUACGUGCCAGCAGCCGCGGUAAUACGUAGGGUGCGAGCGUUAAUCGGAAUUACUGGGCGUAAAGCGUGCGCAGGCGGCUCUGUAAGACAGAUGUGAAAUCCCCGGGCUCAACCUGGGAACUGCAUUUGUGACUGCAGGGCUGGAGUGCGUCAGAGGGAGGUGGAAUUCCGCGUGUAGCAGUGAAAUGCGUAGAGAUGUGGAGGAACACCGAUGGCGAAGGCAGCCCCCUGGGUCGACACUGACGCUCAUGCACGAAAGCGUGGGGAGCAAACAGGAUUAGAUACCCUGGUAGUCCACGCCCUAAACGAUGCGAACUAGGUGUUGGGGAAGGAGACUUCUUUAGUACCGUAGCUAACGCGUGAAGUUCGCCGCCUGGGGAGUACGGUCGCAAGAUUAAAACUCAAAGGAAUUGACGGGGACCCGCACAAGCGGUGGAUGAUGUGGAUUAAUUCGAUGCAACGCGAAAAACCUUACCUACCCUUGACAUGCCCGGAACCCUGGUGAGAGCUGGGGGUGCCCGAAAGGGAAUCGGGACACAGGUGCUGCAUGGCUGUCGUCAGCUCGUGUCGUGAGGCGUUGGGUUAAGUCCCCUAACGAGCGAAACCCUUGUCUUUAGUUGCUAACGGGUAAUGCUGAGCACUUUAGAGAGACUGCCGUCGUUAAGACGGAGGAAGGUGGGGACGACGUCAAGUCAUCAUGGCCCUUAUGUCCCGGGCUGCACACGUGCUACAAUGGUCGGUACAAAGGGAUGCUAAGUCGCGAGAUGGUGCGAAACCUAUAAAGCCGAUCUCAGUUCAGAUUGGAGGCUGAAACUCGCCUCCAUGAAGUUGGAAUCGCUAGUAAUCGCGGAUCAGCUACGCCGCGGUGAAUAUGUUCCCGAGCCUUGUACACACCGCCCGUCAAGCCACCCAAGCAAGAUGCACCCAAAAUCGCCUGCCUAACCCGUAAGGGAGGGAAGUGCCUAAGGUGUGUUUUGUGAGGAGGACUA
rnacentral:rRNA from 1 species